GAUGAAGAACGCAGCGAAAUGCGAUAAUUAAUGUGAAUUGCAGAAUUCCGUGAAUCAUCGAGUCUUUGAACGCACAUUGCGCCUCAUGACAUUCCGUGAGGCAUGCCCAUCUCAGCGUUAGAAAAUAUUCUCAAAUUUUAGUUUUGUGCUAAAAUUUGGAUCAUGUCAAAGAAGCUAUUACUAUUAUUGUGAUCGCUCUUUGGAAAUUGAUAGGUCUUUGAGUUGCUACUCAUAGAACGUGAUGAAUCUUUCUUCGUUCUAUUGUAAUUCACUCUGGUAGUCCUAAAACUUGUAUGCCUGUGGCAUAUCUUGUAAUUUGACCUGAGAUUGGGUAGGGAUACCCGCUGAACUUAAGCAUAUCAAUAAGCGGAGGA
rnacentral:misc_RNA from 1 species